UAUGAGAGUACAUGUUAAAAAGUAUGACUUCAUCCCACCUAUCCCAGUUCCUGGGUUUCCCUUCCUAGAGGCAACCACCAUUAUCAGUUUUUUGUGUUUCCCUCUGCAGAUAUUCUGUGUAGAUACAAAUAUUGCAUUUUAUGUUUAUGCUCAAAGGGUACAUACCCUACACACACUGCUGUGCUCAUUGUCAUUUCUUUCUUCUUUUUCAGAAAAAUAGAUCUCAGAAAAUGUUUUUAGACGUAUGAUCAAUUCAACUCUAGACAAAUGAGCUCCCCAACUCAAAAAGUGAUGAAAAGUCGAAAGUAAAGCAUCCGCAUUAUAAAAAUGCAAACGGCACAGAAAGGGUCUUCAGAGAUGAUUAAGAUGAAGUCAUCGGGUGGGCCCUAAUCCAAUAGGACUGUGUGUUUAUAAAAUGGGGAGAUUUGGACACAGAAACACACACACACACACACUGGGAGAACGCCAUGUGAAGAUGAAGGCAGAGAUUGGACUGAUGCUUCUACAAACCAAGGAACGCCAAAGACUGCCAGCAAACCACCAGGAGCUAGGAGAGAGGCGUGGAACAAAGGCUCCCUCACAGCUGUCAAGAGAACCAGGCUGCCAACACCCUGAUCUUGGACUUCUAACCCCAGAGCUGUGAUACAACAAAUAGCUGUUGUUUAAGCCACACAGUUUGUG
rnacentral:lncRNA from 1 species